rfam:Alligator mississippiensis ScZkoYb_55, whole genome shotgun sequence.
UAAUAGGCUCCAAUAGGAGCUACACACAGGAAAAUUAGAAAUGCUU